rnacentral:rRNA from 1 species
AUACGGAGGGUGCAAGCGUUAAUCGGAAUCACUGGGCGUAAAGCGCACGUAGGCGGCACGUUAAGUCAGCUGUGAAAGCCCUGGGCUCAACCUGGGAAUGGCAGUUGAUACUGACGCGCUCGAGUCUGAGAGAGGGGGGUGGAAUUCCAGGUGUAGCGGUGAAAUGCGUAGAUAUCUGGAGGAACACCGGUGGCGAAGGCGGCCCCCUGGCUCAUGACUGACGCUGAGGUGCGAAAGCGUGGGGAGC